rnacentral:tRNA from 1 species
CAGUCCUCUGCUCUACCAGCUGAGCUAUCCCGACCA